CGAACUUCGGGUUCUGUCCUCCGGAGACUGGGGGACAGGCCCUGGCCUUCCGGAUGACUGCAUUUCAGAGGAAUGGCUCUGAGGGCCUUGAGAAGGGCACUUCAAAGUUAGAAGAGAUGCGUAUUCACAACUGUAAGCCAUUUCUAGUAAAUGCUCCGAGAAAGAGAGGUGGAGAUGAAGACCUAAUAGGAUGCGUUAACCUAAUGCUACAUAAAGAAUUACCCCAAAACUCAGUGUCUUAAAACAGUGAACAUUAUCUUCUCACAGCUUUUGUGGGCCAGGACUUGGAAGCGGCUGAGCUGGGUGCCUGGCUCACGGCCUCUUGAGGCGACGGUCGGGGUAUUGGCCAGGGUCGCAGUCACACAGUCAUCUGAAGGCUUCACCGGCCUGGCGGUCCUCUUCCACGGGGGCUCGCUCGCGUGCCUCACGAGUUGGUGUUGGCUGCUGGCAGGGGGCCCCCGUCCUCUCCCAAUGAGCCUUUCCACCAGCCACUUGAAUGUCCUCUUGACAUGGAGGCUGGCUUCCCCUGAGAGAGAGAUCAAGAGAGACCAAGACUGAAGCCAAAACAUUUUUCAUGACCCAGCCUCAAAAGUCACUCUCCAUCAUUUCUGCAACGUCCUGUUGGUUACACAGGUCAACUCUAUUCAACAUGGAUGGGAACUACAAAAAGGCUUGAAUACCCAAAGGCCAGACUCACUGAGGGCCAUCUCGGAGGUCGGCUGCCGCUUGAGAGAAUGUCAGAUCCCGACAGGUUCUUCAUCAUCCGGUCCAGCUUGCCCUGAGGUGCCCGCCCGUGUCAUCUCAGCUCUGCUGAGCCCUCCGUCCUCGGGCCCCUCAUCCGGCGCCGAGGCGUACAGUGUCUCCUGUGCCUUAACGCCAAGAGGGACGGCCGUUUGUAAGUCCUUUCAUAGCCUCCGCUACACCAAAGGCAGGGCUGAAAGCACACAUGGGGCCCAGAAGUUCUCGUCGAAUAACAAAAUAGUGACUUUUGUCUCUUCAGAUGUCACGUGAGAGUUUCAGGAUUCCAUACUUUCCCAGGAGUUUUCCUUGUUAUCUUACAAAUGUUUUCACCGUUAUCAAAAUUCCUUCAGUUGUUUGUAACUUUAAAGUCCCAUCAGGACCUGCGUUCCAAGACUUUAAACUACUGAAGCCUAACGUUGUAUUUAAUGAGGAGCAAAACCAAGUUAAUUCCCAUUCACAGAUGACAAGUGAACAGUUGGCAGCAAUUUCAACAUCUGCUUUUAAUUCAUUUAAGUGUGAUCAAAUGGUGAUUAAAAAAAGUGCUGGAAACUCUAAUAUUUCUCCAUUAUCCUUCGAGUAGUUGUCUCUGCUAACUGAAGUUGACUCUUGAUGGUUGUGUAGAUGGACCCAAAGUAAACACUGGGACAGAGAGUGCUCCGUUUUUGUGCCUUCAUGUGGGAGCCUGUUUCACCCUUUCUUCAUUCCAAGUUCAUUCCCAAAUGUUCCAGACAAAAGGCUCUUGUUAGGGUUGAGUCACUGCUGGUUUGAAACGGGGAUAGUAACCAACAUGUUAGUUGGAACUAGCCUUAGAUUUAAAAACUUCUUGCCUUUGUGAGUUCACGCACACGCGCACACACAAUCUGUAAACAAUAUCCUCAGACGAUGGCUGUGCUGUUCUUUAUUUAUAAUCUGUCUCCAUUUGCCUCAUACACCUUACUCACCCUUCCUUUUAGGCGUACUUCUUGCCAAAUAAAGUAAUUAGCAAGGAAUCAGGUAGGUAAUUGGAUGGAAUUACAUGAUACUUGCUUUUAAUACUAUGUGUAAGAAAUAUAGGUAAUUGUUAUAGUUUCUAUGAAUAUAUUAUUUACAGGCUGGUUUGUCGAAUACCCAUACUAAGUUGUACAGAUUGUUAUUGUCAUGUCUACAUUUUUUAAAAAAGAUUCUACAAUUCUGUACUUUUAUUUAAUUAAUUAAUUUAUUUAUUUUUUGGUGAGGAAGAUUGUCCCUGGGCUAACAUCUGUGUCAAUCUUCCUCUAUUUUUUAUGUGGGAUGCCACCACAGCAUGGCUUGAUAAGUGGUGUGUAGGUCCAUGCCCGGGAUCUGAGCCUGCGAACCCCGGGCUGCUGAGGCAGACCAUGCAAACUUAAUCACUAUACCACUGGGCUGGCCCCCAUUUCUACAAUUCAAAUUCAUGUAAGAAGAAUACAAAAUUAAAUAAAAAGAAUUCUUAGGGUAUAAUGAAUAUGAAAAUGACCACAGAUACAAAAGCACUAAAAAAUUUUAGAUAAAGGAUUUCUUCUCUAUAA
ensembl:lncRNA